rnacentral:rRNA from 1 species
GAUGAACGCUAGCUACAGGCUUAACACAUGCAAGUCGAGGGGAAACGGCAUCGAAAGCUUGCUUUUGAUGGGCGUCGACCGGCGCACGGGUGAGUAACGCGUAUCCAACCUGCCCAUCACUUGGGAAUAACCUUGCGAAAGUAAGACUAAUGCCCAAUGACAUCCCACGAAGGCAUCCGAAUGGGAUUAAAGAUUUAUCGGUGAUGGAUGGGGAUGCGUCUGAUUAGCUUGUUGGCGGGGUGACGGCCCACCAAGGCAACGAUCAGUAGGGGUUCUGAGAGGAAGGUCCCCCACAUUGGAACUGAGCCACGGUCCAAACUCCUACGGGAGGCAGCAGUGAGGAAUAUUGGUCAAUGGGCGAGAGCCUGAACCAGCCAAGUAGCGUGCAGGAUGACGGCCCUAUGGGUUGUAAACUGCUUUUAUAAGGGAAUAAAGUGGGUCACGUGUGACUUUUUGCAUGUCCCUUAUGAAUAAGGACCGGCUAAUUCCGUG